GGUCGAAAGGGGAAAUUCAUUCGCGUUUCGGCUGUCGGAGUUGAAUGCUUGUAUGACGGAUAACGUUUCGACGUUGUCCGCGUCUCGUGUUCUUCGAAUCGAUGUCGAACGCGUGCACUUUUCCUCUAGUAGAACGUCGCGAUCCGUUGGGUGUCUGUCUAAGGUAUGUGAGGUGGAGCCCAUGCGAUUUUUAGAUUGUGUGGACCCUUGAUAUCCCGACAGACCCGCUCGACGGUAUACAAAUGGCGCGAGGCCGCUACACAUACAAUUAGCGUUCGGCCCGUAGCAAGCACGUUCUGUGUUUGAUGGUCAUCGGACCUGGUGCCGAUCCUGUCCCGGAGCGACUGUUGGUUACGUGGUAAUUCUCUCGAACAGACCUCG
rnacentral:rRNA from 1 species